UACGGAGGAUGCGAGCGUUAUCCGGAUUUAUUGGGUUUAAAGGGUGCGUAGGCGGACGCUUAAGUCAGCGGUAAAAUUGCGGGGCUCAACCUCGUCGAGCCGUUGAAACUGGGUGCCUUGAGUGGGCGAGAAGUACGCGGAAUGCGUGGUGUAGCGGUGAAAUGCAUAGAUAUCACGCAGAACUCCGAUUGCGAAGGCAGCGUACCGGCGCCCAACUGACGCUGAGGCACGAAAGCGUGGGUAUCGAACAGG
rnacentral:rRNA from 1 species